CAAUAGCGUAUAUUAAAGUUGUUGCGGUUAAAAAGCUCGUAGUUGGAUUUCUGCUGAGGACGAUCGGUCCGCCCACUGGGUGAGUAUCUGGCUCGGCCUUGGCAUCUUCUUGGAGAACGUUGCUGCACUUGACUGUGUGGCGCGGUAUCCAGGACUUUUACCUUGAGGAAAUUAGAGUGUUUCAAGCAGGCACACGCCUUGAAUACAUUAGCAUGGAAUAAUAAGAUAGGACCUCGGUUCUAUUUGUUGGUUUCUAGAGCUGAGGUAAUGAUUAAAAGGGAUAGUUGGGGGCAUUCGUAUUUAACAGUCAGAGGUGAAAUUCUUGGAUUUGUUAGAGACGGACUACUGCGAAAGCAUUUGCCAAGGAUGUUUUCAUUGA
rnacentral:rRNA from 1 species